rnacentral:rRNA from 1 species
GACGUAGGGCGCGAGCGUUUGUCCGGAUUUAUUGGGCGUAAAGAGCUCGUAGGCGGUUUGUCGCGUCGGGAGUGAAAUCCACUGGCUUAACUGGUGGCUUGCUUUCGAUACGGGCAGACUGGAGGUAUGCAGGGGAGAACGGAAUUCCUGGUGUAGCGGUGAAAUGCGCAGAUAUCAGGAGGAACACCGGUGGCGAAGGCGGUUCUCUGGGCAUGUCCUGACGCUGAGGAGCGAAAGCGUGGGGAGCGAACAGG